rnacentral:rRNA from 1 species
UACAGAGGGGGCAAGCGUUGUUCGGAAUUACUGGGCGUAAAGGGCGCGCAGGCGGCAGAUCAAGUCAGACGUGAAAGCCCCGGGCUUAACCUGGGAACUGCGUUUGGGACUGGUUUGCUAGAGAUCGGGAGAGGAGAGUGGAAUUCCCAGUGUAGAGGUGAAAUUCGUAGAUAUUGGGAAGAACACCGGUGGCGAAGGCGGCUCUCUGGACCGAUACUGACGCUGAGGCGCGAAAGCGUGGGGAGCAAACAGG